CCUUCCUCCUGAAUCUGUCAUUUUGAUUCAGAUAACUAAAUCAGGCUAAGCACUGCAAUGAUAAUGGAUGACUUGCCUCAUUAGCCGUCUCCUGCUGCUUUACUCUGUCAGGAAGCACCACUGUGACUGUCUGGAUUCCUGGGGAAGGUUUGUCUUAGAGGUAGCUGGUCUUGGAAGGAUCUCAAGAGAGAAUGAGAAGAAUUCUCAACAAAAACAAUCACUAUGACCAAUUCAGAGAUGUCUCAUUGUUUCACAAUCUAUGGUAAACAUUGUUACCUGGACUUUUAGAGGAACAUGAGAGAAGAAAUUACAGAAAUAAUAUAUGCUAGCAAAAAGAUGUGUUUUUUGUCCAUAGAAUAUUCAUCAUGGACCUUUGAACAUUUCUUCUCACAGUGUGUAUAUCUUGAAUAUACACUGAAGACUCAAAGGUUGCCUGAUACAGUACUGAGAAUGGAUGAAAAUUUGUGUGCUUAUUCAGAGAAAACUGAAAGCGGCACUGCUGAAACUCAAGACAUUGCCUUCUGCCCACCAGAGCUCCCUGUGGAGAACCCAGAAGGCAGCAUAUUUGUGAGCUGCUGCCAAGAGAGGGGAGAGAGCACUGCAGGAUGG
ensembl:lncRNA